rnacentral:rRNA from 1 species
AUUGAACGCUGGCGGCAGGCCUAACACAUGCAAGUCGAACGGUAACAGGAAGAAGCUUGCUUCUUUGCUGACGAGUGGCGGACGGGUGAGUAAUGUCUGGGAAACUGCCUGAUGGAGGGGGAUAACUACUGGAAACGGUAGCUAAUACCGCAUAACGUCGCAAGACCAAAGAGGGGGACCUUCGGGCCUCUUGCCAUCGGCUGUGCCCAGAUGGGAUUAGCUAGUAGGUGGGGUAACGGCUCACCUAGGCGACGAUCCCUAGCUGGUCUGAGAGGAUGACCAGCCACACUGGAACUGAGACACGGUCCAGACUACUACGAGAGGCAGCAGUGGGGAAUAUGGCACAAUGGGCGCAAGCCUGAUGCAGCCAUGCCGCGUGUAUGAAGAAGGCCUUCGGGUUGUAAAGUACUUUCAGCGGGGAGGAAGGGAGUAAAGUUAAUACCUGUGCUCAUUGACGUUACCCGCAGAAGAAGCACCGGCUAACUCCGUG